GAAAUGCGAUAAGUAGUGUGAAUUGCAGAAUUCAGUGAAUCAUCGAAUCUUUGAACGCACAUUGCGCCCCUUGGUAUUCCAUGGGGCAUGCCUGUUCGAGCGUCAUUUGUACCCUCAAGCUCUGCUUGGUGUUGGGUGUUUGUCCCCGUCUCCGCGCGUGGACUCGCCCCAAAGUGAUUGGCAGCCGGCGUACUGGUCCCGGAGCGCAGCACAUGUCGCGCAAACGAGUGCCUUGGUACGGCGGCGUCCAUAAGCCCCUCUCUCACGCUCUUGACCUCGGAUCAGGUAGGGAUACCGGCUGAACUUAAGC
rnacentral:misc_RNA from 1 species